AGCUUUUGCAGGUGUAACUAAGUUAAGGAUUUUGAGAUGAGAUCCGUCUGGCUCGUUUGAGGCAAGCCCUAAAUUCACUGAUCUUUAUAAGAAACAGAAGAGAAAACAUAGAGGUGAAGGUGAGAAGAUGGAGCUAGAGAUAAAGGUGGGGGCAGAGACUGGAGUGAUGUGGCCACAAGCCAGGAAUGCCUGGAGCACCGGAAAAUGGAAGAGAAAUCUCACCACCAUGCUGUGAGGAAGCCCAAGCAGCCUUGAGACGAGUCCUCCAUGGAGAAGAACGGCAGACAGCACCCACAUGCCAGUCAUGCAGAUGCCAGACUUGGGGGAAUCAUCUCUGAAGCCUCUAUCAAGUGGUUCUGAAACAUGUUUAGAUGCUGUUUAGCCGCUUGGAUGAGCCAGUGACUGCCUCAUUAAUCUGACAAACUGUUGGAAACAACUUGCUCGCUUCCUUCCUCCUGGCAUUGGGCACCAGCAGCCUCCUCACCUUGAAGAUGCUUUGAGUUUUAGGAGGUCAUGGGAGCUUGGCUUUGGAGCUAGACAGAUGUGAAUUCAAAUUCCAGCUUCGUGACAUGAAUCUCUCUCAUUCCUAUGAACUUGCGCAAAGGAUGUCACUUCCUUGAUCCUGGGUUUUCAUAUCUGUUCAUGGGGAUAAUGACGGCCUUAGAAGGUAGCUAUGAGGAGUCAGUGAGAUAAGGCACACAACCUAAAUUUCAGCUGUGCACUAGCCAGCCCCUUGAGAUGGACCCAACAUGGGUUCAAAUCUCCACCUUGUCCUUCUGUGCAAGGGCUUAGAACAGUACCUGUUGGAAAGUGCUAGAGUAAGUCCUAUGAAUUUUAUGGGCUACUUUUGUUCACUUCUGACUCCAGGCUUCUGGCAUAUUUGUGUAGAAAGGUGGUGGGGUUUAGUGGCUAAGAGUAUAGAAGCAAUCCCUGGCCUGGGAACUUUUGCAUGCUGUGGGUAAGGCAAAAAAAAAAAAAAAAAGAAAGAAGAGUGUGGACUCCAGGCACAAACUCUCUGGGUUUGAAUCUUGGCUCUGACACUUACUCUAAGUGUGAUCUUGGGCUAGUUAACCUCUUUGAGCCUCAGUUUCCUCAUCUGUAAAAUGGAGAGAUUUAAGAACACCUACCUUUCAAGGUCGUUAUAAAAUGGAUGUACAUAAAGUACCCAGAACAGACAGCACCAUAUAAGAGUUAGCAAUUUUGAUUUUGCACUAUGUUCAUCAAAUGUAAGAUCUUACCCCUUCCUUAAUUGCCGCACAUAAACUCUUGCUCAAAAAUUUUUGUAUGAGUAUUACAGAGCUUACAAAAAUUGGGGCGGGGGAUACCAUAGGUGAAGGAGGCCUUUAUUGCUUGUUACAGAAUAACUUCAAGUCAGCUUUAGACAUGGCAAUUCCUAAGCUUCAGCCAUGCCUCCCAUGUCAACUUAUCAUGUCACCUCAAUGGUCUCUACCCUCUCACCUUCUCUGGCUCCUUGCUUCUCUCCCUCCAACUACCUCCAUCUCUUCUUCUCAACCUUAAACCUUGGAUCGCCUUCGUUACCUUUGUCCAAAUUCUUUUCCCUCUUCAUUGUAUGUAAUGACUCUGCUCUCCCCAGGCCUUACUUCUGGCAUAAGCACUUCCAACACCCGCUAGGUGUUCAGCAGAACAUAAAGGGGGCCUUCCAUUUAACUAGCACCCUCCUUGGAAGGUAGUUUGAUUCAUGAAA